GCGAGUUGGUGUGUGGCUUUCGAGCCUCUUUGUGAGGCUUGAGGAAACUCCGCCCCACGUGUAGAAUUGCAACAUCCGCAAGGGUGUAAGGCGAGAGCCUUGGCUACGGAGCAGAAACGGAACGUCCAUCCGGCAAGUGCCGAUGAGGCAUGGUAAGUUGUUGAGAAUGCCUGAUGCGAAACGGUGAAACGGCCGUCCUGCAAGUGGAAAGGGCAAACAGACGCUGAUGAAGCGCUACCUGAAGCGCGGGUAGCCCGAUUAGCCGAAUGCCACAACGAACAGAAGGCGGGUUAC
rnacentral:RNase_P_RNA from 1 species